CUGCAAUUUACAUUUUAGAUUUCGAAAUUGUAUAUAAGUAAAUAAGCCGUUAAUAUAAACAAGAGUAUAUAGAAGAAUCAUGAACGAUAUUGUCCUCGAUCAAAACGUAUAUUUCGUUAUUAAAAAAAAUCAGUGCCCGAGGUCCAAUAUUCGCAACUGCAUGGUGAACACUCUUCAAAGUUUUGUAUUUUAUUAAACACGGUUGAAUUGACAUUGGAAGAUCGUGGAACAUGCCUGUCACUAAGAAAAGUUAAACCCACUGCUAAAGCAAAUAUGAUAUUCUGGCCUUGUGGAAUAUGCCGUAAAAAUUGUAAAAUUUAUUAUAUACUUUUUUUUAAACCAAAACUGUUUAAACCACGGCUGCUUAUCGGUGAUUCAAUGUUCUUUGUUUUAUACCAAACACC
rnacentral:lncRNA from 1 species